UCCUUAGAUGUCCUGGGCCGCACGCGCGUUACACUGAUGCAUUCAACGAGCUUAUAACCUUGGCCGAGAGGCCUGGGCAAUCUUGUUAACGUGCAUCGUGAUAGGGAUAGAUUAUUGAAAUUAUUAAUCUUGAACGAGGAAUUCCUAGUAAACGCAGAUCAUCAAUCUGCAUUGAUUACGUCCCUGCCCUUUGUACACACCGCCCAUCGCACCUACCGAUUGGAUGGUCCGGUGAAGCCUCGGGAUUGUGGUUCUUGCCGCUUUAUUGUGGCGUGACCGCGAGAACUUGUCUAAACCUUAUCAUCUAGAGGAAGGUGAAGUCGUAACA
rnacentral:rRNA from 1 species